rnacentral:rRNA from 2 species
GUCGAACGCGUUGGCCCAAUUGAUUGAUGGUGCUUGCACCUGAUUGAUUUUGGUCGCCAACGAGUGGCGGACGGGUGAGUAACACGUAGGUAACCUGCCCAGAAGCGGGGGACAACAUUUGGAAACAGAUGCUAAUACCGCAUAACAGCGUUGUUCGCAUGAACAACGCUUAAAAGAUGGCUUCUCGCUAUCACUUCUGGAUGGACCUGCGGUGCAUUAGCUUGUUGGUGGGGUAACGGCCUACCAAGGCGAUGAUGCAUAGCCGAGUUGAGAGACUGAUCGGCCACAAUGGGACUGAGACACGGCCCAUACUCCUACGGGAGGCAGCAGUAGGGAAUCUUCCACAAUGGGCGCAAGCCUGAUGGAGCAACACCGCGUGAGUGAAGAAGGGUUUCGGCUCGUAAAGCUCUGUUGUUAAAGAAGAACACGUAUGAGAGUAACUGUUCAUACGUUGACGGUAUUUAACCAGAAAGUCACGGCUAACUACGUGCCAGCAGCCGCGGUAAUACGUAGGUGGCAAGCGUUAUCCGGAUUUAUUGGGCGUAAAGAGAGUGCAGGCGGUUUUCUAAGUCUGAUGUGAAAGCCUUCGGCUUAACCGGAGAAGUGCAUCGGAAACUGGAUAACUUGAGUGCAGAAGAGGGUAGUGGAACUCCAUGUGUAGCGGUGGAAUGCGUAGAUAUAUGGAAGAACACCAGUGGCGAAGGCGGCUACCUGGUCUGCAACUGACGCUGAGACUCGAAAGCAUGGGUAGCGAACAGGAUUAGAUACCCUGGUAGUCCAUGCCGUAAACGAUGAGUGCUAGGUGUUGGAGGGUUUCCGCCCUUCAGUGCCGGAGCUAACGCAUUAAGCACUCCGCCUGGGGAGUACGACCGCAAGGUUGAAACUCAAAGGAAUUGACGGGGGCCCGCACAAGCGGUGGAGCAUGUGGUUUAAUUCGAAGCUACGCGAAGAACCUUACCAGGUCUUGACAUCUUGCGCCAACCCUAGAGAUAGGGCGUUUCCUUCGGGAACGCAAUGACAGGUGGUGCAUGGUCGUCGUCAGCUCGUGUCGUGAGAUGUUGGGUUAAGUCCCGCAACGAGCGCAACCCUUGUUACUAGUUGCCAGCAUUAAGUUGGGCACUCUAGUGAGACUGCCGGUGACAAACCGGAGGAAGGUGGGGACGACGUCAGAUCAUCAUGCCCCUUAUGACCUGGGCUACACACGUGCUACAAUGGACGGUACAACGAGUCGCGAACUCGCGAGGGCAAGCAAAUCUCUUAAAACCGUUCUCAGUUCGGACUGCAGGCUGCAACUCGCCUGCACGAAGUCGGAAUCGCUAGUAAUCGCGGAUCAGCAUGCCGCGGUGAAUACGUUCCCGGGCCUUGUACACACCGCCCGUCACACCAUGAGAGUU